UACGUAGGGUGCAAGCGUUAUCCGGAAUUAUUGGGCGUAAAGAGCUCGUAGGCGGUUUGUCGCGUCUGCUGUGAAAACCCGGGGCUCAACCCCGGACUUGCAGUGGGUACGGGCAGACUAGAGUGUGGUAGGGGAGACUGGAAUUCCUGGUGUAGCGGUGAAAUGCGCAGAUAUCAGGAGGAACACCGAUGGCGAAGGCAGGUCUCUGGGCCACUACUGACGCUGAGAAGCGAAAGCAUGGGGGAGCGAACAGG
rnacentral:rRNA from 1 species